GUUGGGAUUACAGGCGUGGGGAAGCUGAGGCAGGAAGCCCUUUAGUCACUUGCUGAAGGCCACGCUGUUACCCGUGGGACCGGAUUUGGGCGGCCGAAGAGCACUCAUCCGACAGUGGGGCCGGAUUCACGCCCCGGGCCCGUUCCCUCCUGCUCCCUGGUGCUCCUCACGCCAUCGGCCCCACUGCCUCUCACUGCCCGGUGUCCUGCUAUGUCAGCCUCUGCUGUCCACUUCAAGAAGUGUCUCAGGAUGCCGAGUCGAAGCUGGACUGUACUGCUGCCAUCUCGGCUCACUGCAACCUCCCUGCCUGAUUCUCCUGCCUCAGCCUGCCGAGUGCCUGCGAUUGCAGGCGCGCGCCGCCACGCCUGACUGGUUUUCGUAUUUUUUUGGUGGAGACGGGGUUUCGCCGUGUUGGCCGGGCUGGUCUCCAGCUCCUAACCACGAGUGAUCCGCCAGCCUCGGCCUCCCGAGGUGCCGGGAUUGCAGACGGAGUCUCGUUC
rnacentral:lncRNA from 1 species